rnacentral:rRNA from 1 species
UACGUAGGGAGCAAGCGUUGUUCGGAUUUACUGGGCGUAAAGGGCGCGUAGGCGGCGCGGUAAGUCACUUGUGAAAUCUCUGAGCUUAACUCAGAACGGCCAAGUGAUACUGCAGUGCUAGAGUGCAGAAGGGGCAAUCGGAAUUCUUGGUGUAGCGGUGAAAUGCGUAGAGAUCAGGAAGAACACCGGUGGCGAAAGCGCUCUGCUGGACCUUAACUGACACUGAGGGACGAAAGCUAGGGGAGCGAAUGGG